rnacentral:tRNA from 1 species
AGUAAUGUGGCCGAUUAUAGGUGAUAAACUGUAAAUUUAUUGAUGAAUUUUAUUCCUUUACU